GCCCUGGUGGCAUAGUGGUUAAGUGCUCAGCUACUAACUGAAAGGUUGUUGGUUCGAACCCACCAGUGGCU
rfam:Loxodonta africana unplaced genomic scaffold scaffold_11, whole genome shotgun sequence.